UCUUCCUCUUUUUCUUCUCUGCAAGCCCCGAGAGCGCCGCCGCAGCAAGCACCUUGUCCCCAUCGUCUCCGGCAACCCCGAGCCGUUCCGUGGGCACCGGCGGGUGCGCCUCGACCUCCUCUUGCUCCUGGCAGAAGGAAUUGAUCCCGGGUGCUCCCAGACGCCGCCACAUCGCGUUUCCCUUCUCCGACUCCGGCGUUCGUUUUCCUCGAUUCCGGCCACUGUGGACUCCCUCCGCCCGUUCUGAGUCCACGUCGAGCUUCAGGAACAUCGCCGCCGGCGACGCUCCGAUGAUCUCCGGGUGAUGGCGCCACCGCCAUCUGGUCCGCGCCGCCAAGGCACACCCGGCGCCCUAUUCCUCGCUUCCUGGGAGCCCCUACAACGCCGCUCGCAUCCAUGCCGACCCGCAGUGGUCACCGUCGCUCACCGCCGCGCGUGCACAUGGUUGCCACGUUGCCGCCAGCUCGGCAUCCUCGUCACCUUCUGGGCCCCAUCCGUCAGCGUCUGCGGCUAGCCCAGCCCCGAUUCCGCCCAGUCAGCAGCGCCGGACCCGCGCAACAGCCUCUGCAGCUAGCUCUCCUCUCGGAUCACGAAGUGGUGCUGUGAGAUACGGCAAGUUCUUCUGCAGCUUUUCACAGGC